UGAACGUCCAUCGAACUAGGUAGCUCUAAAUACAACUUGUAGUAGUAAAAUAAGGGUGGAUUGGGGUACCAGAUUUUAAGAUAAAAAAAAAAUAAAGCCUUCAUAGAAAAAUGGCGGUGGAGUUUUAAGUCAGAAUUUGGAUUUCUUUAGCAUCACAUUUUUAUCUCAAAAUAUGGAGAGGAUGCAAUGGUAAGAAUUGGUAUUCGUAGAGAAUUAUGGAAAAGGUUUUCUCAUUGUUGGAGAGACAUUGUGGCUAUUAGAGAGUCUCCUUUCUUAGAUGAUUUUUUUCAAAAGUGGGUUUCAUUGGAUUCUAGGAGAUGGAAAACAGAUUAGUUUCUAGUUGGAUCUUUGACUAUUUGAAGUAAAUUGAAGACACUAUUUACAAGACUGUUUGGCUUAGUAGAAAAUAAAAGAGCAAGGGUAAAUAAUUAUAGCUUCUUUUGAAUGGAAAAUGGCAUUGGGAAUUAUAGUGGAGGAGACAACCAAGAAGUUUGAGGAGGAAUCAAGGAAACUGCUCAAAUAAAAACUUGAUGAAGUGUCAGUUCUUCCUGAAUUUGAGGAUCAAGCGGUAUGAAAAUUCAGCAGAAGAUGUACAUUUUUUUAUUAAAAAUUUAUAUAGCUUAUUACAAGAAAAGGAACUUGGAGCUACUGUAGUUCAAUUUAAUUUUAAACAUCUUUGGUCAUCUUUAAUAUCUCCUAAAGUAGCUUGCUUUGUUUGGAGAGCUUAUUUAAAUAAAAUUCUUACUAGAAUAAACCUGGUUAGAUGAUGUAUUAUUUAUGGAAUGGAUGAAUGUAUUUAUCCUUUUUGUGAAA